CGGGACACGUGGUAUCCUGUCUGAAUAUGGGGGGACCAUCCUCCAAGGCUAAAUACUCCUGACUGACCGAUAGUGAACCAGUACCGUGAGGGAAAGGCGAAAAGAACCCCGGCGAGGGGAGUGAAAAAGAACCUGAAACCGUGUACGUACAAGCAGUGGGAGCACGCUUAGGCGUGUGACUGCGUACCUUUUGUAUAAUGGGUCAGCGACUUAUAUUCUGUAGCAAGGUUAACCGAAUAGGGGAGCCGAAGGGAAACCGAGUCUUAACUGGGCGUUAAGUUGCAGGGUAUAGACCCGAAACCCGGUGAUCUAGCCAUGGGCAGGUUGAAGGUUGGGUAACACUAACUGGAGGACCGAACCGACUAAUGUUGAAAAAUUAGCGGAUGACUUGUGGCUGGGGGUGAAAGGCCAAUCAAACCGGGAGAUAGCUGGUUCUCCCCGAAAGCUAUUUAGGUAGCGCCUCGUGAAUUCAUCUCCGGGGGUAGAGCACUGUUUCGGCAAGGGGGUCAUCCCGACUUACCAACCCGAUGCAAACUGCGAAUACCGGAGAAUGUUAUCACGGGAGACACACGGCGGGUGCUAACGUCCGUCGUGAAGAGGGAAACAACCCAGACCGCCAGCUAAGGUCCCAAAGUCAUGGUUAAGUGGGAAACGAUGUGGGAAGGCCCAGACAGCCAGGAUGUUGGCUUAGAAGCAGCCAUCAUUUAAAGAAAGCGUAAUAGCUCACUGGUCGAGUCGGCCUGCGCGGAAGAUGUAACGGGGCUAAACCAUGCACCGAAGCUGCGGCAGCGACGCUGAUGCGUUGUUGGGUAGGGGAGCGUUCUGUAAGCCUGUGAAGGUGUGCUGUGAGGCAUGCUGGAGGUAUCAGAAGUGCGAAUGCUGACAUAAGUAACGAUAAAGCGGGUGAAAAGCCCGCUCGCCGGAAGACCAAGGGUUCCUGUCCAACGUUAAUCGGGGCAGGGUGAGUCGACCCCUAAGGCGAGGCCGAAAGGCGUAGUCGAUGGGAAACAGGUUAAUAUUCCUGUACUUGGUGUUACUGCGAAGGGGGGACGGAGAAGGCUAUGUUGGCCGGGCGACGGUUGUCCCGGUUUAAGCGUGUAGGCUGGUUUUCCAGGCAAAUCCGGAAAAUCAAGGCUGAGGCGUGAUGACGAGGCACUACGGUGCUGAAGCAACAAAUGCCCUGCUUCCAGGAAAAGCCUCUAAGCAUCAGGUAACAUCAAAUCGUACCCCAAACCGACACAGGUGGUCAGGUAGAGAAUACCAAGGCGCUUGAGAGAACUCGGGUGAAGGAACUAGGCAAAAUGGUGCCGUAACUUCGGGAGAAGGCACGCUGAUAUGUAGGUGAAGCGACUUGCUCGUGGAGCUGAAAUCAGUCGAAGAUACCAG
rnacentral:rRNA from 1 species